AUAUCAAUAAGCGGAGGAAAAGAAACCAACAGGGAUUGCCCUAGUAACGGCGAGUGAAGCGGCAACAGCUCAAAUUUGAAAUCUGGCUUCGGCCCGAGUUGUAAUUUGUAGAGGAAACUUUUGGUGAGGCACCUUCUGAGUCCCUUGGAACAGGGCGCCAUAGAGGGUGAGAGCCCCGUAUAGUCGGAUGCCGAUCCAAUGUAAAGUUCCUUCGACGAGUCGAGUAGUUUGGGAAUGCUGCUCAAAAUGGGAGGUAAAUUUCUUCUAAAGCUAAAUAUAGGCCAGAGACCGAUAGCGCACAAGUAGAGUGAUCGAAAGAUGAAAAGCACUUUGAAAAGAGGGUUAAAUAGCACGUGAAAUUGUUGAAAGGGAAGCGUUUGUGACCAGACUUGCGCCGUUCCGAUCAUCCGGUGUUCUCACCGGUGCACUCGGGGCGGCUCAGGCCAGCAUCGGUUUUGGUGGGGGGAUAAAGGUCCAGGGAACGUAGCUCCUCCGGGAGUGUUAUAGCCCUGGGCGUAAUGCCCUCGCUGGGACCGAGGUUCGCGCAUCUGCAAGGAUGCUGGCGUAAUGGUCAUCAACGA
rnacentral:rRNA from 1 species